rnacentral:rRNA from 1 species
AGCGAACGCUGGCGGUAGGCCUAACACAUGCAAGUCGAACGGCAGCACAGUAAGAGCUUGCUCUUACGGGUGGCGAGUGGCGGACGGGUGAGGAAUACAUCGGAAUCUACUUUUUCGUGGGUGAUAACGUAGGGAAACUUACGCUAAUACCGCAUACGACCUACGGGUGAAAGCAGGGGAUCUUCGGACCUUGCGCGAUUGAAUGAGCCGAUGUCGGAUUAGCUAGUUGGCGGGGUAAAGGCCCACCAAGGCGACGAUCCGUAGCUGGUCUGAGAGGAUGAUCAGCCACACUGGAACUGAGACACGGUCCAGACUCCUACGGGAGGCAGCAGUGGGGAAUAUUGGACAAUGGGCGCAAGCCUGAUCCAGCCAUACCGCGUGGGUGAAGAAGGCCUUCGGGUUGUAAAGCCCUUUUGUUGGGAAAGAAAAGCAGCAGGUUAAUACCCCGCUGUUCUGACGGUACCCAAAGAAUAAGCACCGGCUAACUUCGUG